rnacentral:lncRNA from 10 species
AGUGGGCAAAGGUCUGGUGCUGGGCACAGUGAGUGGGCAGGUGGGGCAGGAUAAAAGGGCCUGUAAAGGGGACUUGUGGGAGCUAAGAGUGAUAAGAAUCGCUAAGGAGGGUGUGGAAAGCACGCGGGCAUUGUGUGCAGAAGACCUGGACUGGAAUCUAACACUGUGAGUACUCCCCAGGAUCCGUGUUCCUCUCUUUAGCCCAGGCAUGCAGUUACAUUACAUUUUCCAACCUUCCUUGCAGUUAGCUACGAUCACGUGACUGCAUUCUGGCCAGUGGAAUGUGUGUGGAAGUGAUGUGGGCCAAUUCCAGGCCUGGCCUAUAAAAAUCCCCCACUUUUUGUUCUCUUUCUCCAUCCACCAUCUGCAUGGAGAGCUCCCAGCACUAGAGGGAGAAAAAGCCACCAGAGGGAAGGAGCCUGGGUCCCUGAAUCACUGUGUAGACUACCUGCCAAACAUACACCCUGAAUUGUUAUGGCAAUAACAAAUAAACUCCUAAUGUGUUAAGCCAUUUAAAUUCUGGGGUUGUUACAGCUGUUAGCCCAGUCUGACUAACAUAGCCUCUUAAGAGGCUUUGGAUAAGUUUCCUAG